rnacentral:rRNA from 1 species
AUUGAACGCUGGCGGCAGGCCUAACACAUGCAAGUCGAGCGAGCGGCGGACGGGUGAGUAAUGUAUGGGGACUGCCCGAUAGAGGGGGAUAACUCCUGGAAACGGUAGCUAAUACAGCAUACUCUCUGAUAACCCCUAUGGGAUUAGCUAGUAGGUGAGGGAAUGGCUCACCUAGGGGCCGAUCCCUAGCUGGUCUGAGAGGAUGAUCAGCCACACGGGGACGGAGACACGGUCCAGACUCCUACGGAGGCAGCAGUGGGGAAUAUUGCACAAUGGGCGCAAGCCUGAUGCAGCCAUGCCGCGUGUAUGAAGAAGGCCCUAGGGUUGUAAAGUACUUUCAGUCGGGAGGCGUUACCGACAGAAGAAGCACCGGCUAACUCCGUGCCAGCCGCCGCGGUAAUAC